GUGCCUUGAAUGCAUGCACUCUACUACGAGUCUGGCAUCACUCGUAUGCAUGCAUGUACUUUACAGUUUUUCUUUUCUGCAUGCAUUCACGAGCACUACUUUCAGCCAUCAUAAUUUACAACGAAAAGUCAGACAUAGCAGUCACGAGUACUACUUUUAUGCUGGCGCUAGAGUACUUAGCGGGUCCUUUUCCUAUUAAUAAACAUGUGCAACGGGUUAGUAGCAGCCGCCGCACCGGAGCACACGGAUGCGGCGCCAUUACGUAGUAAGGUCAAUAUAUAUAUAUAUCAGGGUGCACUAUUCUGAUGUGAUUAAGGAUCAAAAUAAAUAUACUGAUUCGACCAGGGGGCGACAAGAAAAAAAAA
rnacentral:lncRNA from 1 species